rnacentral:rRNA from 1 species
UACGAAGGGGGCUAGCGUUGUUCGGAUUUACUGGGCGUAAUGGGCGCGUAGGCGGGCGACUAAGUCAGGGGUGAAAUCCCAAGGCUCAACCUUGGAACUGCCUUUGAUACUGGUUGUCUUGAGUCCGGGAGAGGUGAGUGGAACUGCGAGUGUAGAGGUGAAAUUCGUAGAUAUUCGCAAGAACACCAGUGGCGAAGGCGGCUCACUGGCCCGGAACUGACGCUGAGGCGCGAAAGCGUGGGGAGCAAACAGG